UCUCACAUAAUCCUCAUGUGCAAUAAGGACGAGAGACGAUAUUGACCCGAUAGUUCCAUUCGAUGAAUCAUCUUGUGCCUCUGUGGAAAUUUGUGAGAGGCUUUGGAUAUGGUAUGCCCUGGGCAAAAUAUUAGCAGAGAAGGCAGCAUAGGAAUUUCCCUUCGUUAAAGAGCUAAAAACAUUCGUUAUUGUAAAAUCUCUUAUAUACUUUUAUGAUAGUUUCAUGUACCUUGCAAGAACUUUUUUUAGGCAAUCACCUUCAUUAACUCCUCAAA